rnacentral:rRNA from 1 species
GACGAACGCUGGCGGCGUGCCUAACACAUGCAAGUCGAACGAGGUCCAUGCAGUGGCAACACUGCGGAAGACCUAGUGGCGAACGGGUGAGUAACACGUGAGGAACCUGCCCCGAAGACCGGGAUAACCCUCCGAAAGGAGAGCUAAUACCGGAUACCCCCACCGGAUCGCAUGAUCUGGUGAGGAAAUGGAUUCCGCUUCGGGAGGGCCUCGCGGCCUAUCAGCUAGUUGGUGGGGUAACGGCCCACCAAGGCAUCGACGGGUAGCUGGUCUGAGAGGACGAUCAGCCACACUGGGACUGAGACACGGCCCAG